GAGUUUGAUCAUGGCUCAGAUUGAACGCUGGCGGCAGGCCUAACACAUGCAAGUCGGGCGGUAGAGAGAAGCUUGCUUCUCUUGAGAGCGGCGGACGGGUGAGUAAUGCCUAGGAAUCUGCCUGGUAGUGGGGGAUAACGCUCGGAAACGGACGCUAAUACCGCAUACGUCCUACGGGAGAAAGCAGGGGACCUUCGGGCCUUGCGCUAUCAGAUGAGCCUAGGUCGGAUUAGCUAGUUGGUGAGGUAAUGGCUCACCAAGGCGACGAUCCGUAACUGGUCUGAGAGGAUGAUCAGUCACACUGGAACUGAGACACGGUCCAGACUCCUACGGGAGGCAGCAGUGGGGAAUAUUGGACAAUGGGCGAAAGCCUGAUCCAGCCAUGCCGCGUGUGUGAAGAAGGUCUUCGGAUUGUAAAGCACUUUAAGUUGGGAGGAAGGGCAGUAAAUUAAUACUUUGCUGUUUUGACGUUACCGACAGAAUAAGCACCGGCUAACUCUAGUGCCAGCA
rnacentral:rRNA from 1 species